ensembl:lincRNA
GAUGAUGUCAACAACAGGCCAUGCCUACUCCGUGCCAGAUGACAGGUAGCUUGGGAGAUGUCCAGUUUAUCUAAAUGAAGACUUUUUAGCCUUCACAGAAUGACUGAUUAUUCAUUCAGUGUCAAUCAGAUAGGUUAAAAAAUGUAGAGCUAAUAGUUUCCAUUUGUAAUUCUUGCAUAGAAAUGAAUGUUGUGUAGAAACUGUUACACAACAAACAUUAAGGGCCUUAGGUUACUAGAUAUGAUCUUCUACUUAAACUACUUUUCAUUGAUGUGACCUUGUUUCCAGUGCAAGGUAGUCUGGUAGCAAAAGGGAAGGAAAUGGAAAUCUUCUUUUAUGAAAAUAGAUGGACUAUUCCAGACUGUAUCUGCAGAAAAAUAAAUGAAUGUCUGCAGCAGUUGAAAUCACGGCAAAGCCAUCGCAUUACAGACAGCGGAGCAGAGAAGGCUAUGUUUUCUGGGAAUGAACAUAGAAAGAAGUUUUGCUUGACAGAGAAGGUUUGGGUAAGAGAAACACCCUGUACUAAUGAUUAUGAAUUCAUCUCUACUGCUGCAUGUAGUAUUUUAUUUAACCUGCAGAAAAUUAUGUUUUAUGUAAUAUGAAUUCUGAAGAACUUAAUUCCUGUAAGAGUGCC